ensembl:lncRNA
AACAGAGCUAAACAGAACCAAACAGAACCAAACAGAGCUAAACAGAGCUAAACAGAGCUAAACAGAACCAAACAGAGUUAAACAGAGCUAAACAGAGCUAAACAGAACCAAACAGAGUUAAACAGAACCAAACAGAACCAAACAGAACCAAACAGAGUUAAACAGAGUUAAACAGAAGCUAACAGAGUUAAACAGAGUUAAACAGAACCAAACAGAACCAAACAGAACCAAACAGAGUUAAACAGAGUUAAACAGAGUUAAACAGAAACAAACAGAGCUAAACAGAGUUAAACAGAGUUAAACAGAACCAAACAGAACCAAACAGAACCAAACAGAGCUAAACAGAGUUAAACAGAGUUAAACAGAACCAAACAGAGCUAAACAGAGUUAAACAGAGUUAAACAGAGUUAAACAGAGUUAAACAGAACCAAACAGAACCAAACAGAACCAAACAGAGUUAAACAGAGCCAAACAGAACCAAACAGAACCAAACAGAGUUAAACAGAGUUAAACAGAGUUAAACAGAGUUAAACAGAACCAAACAGAACCAAACAGAACCAAACAGAGUUAAGCAGAGCUAACAGGAACUAACAGGAACAUGACCUUGCUGUAUAUUUACAGUUUAGUGAUCAGUGUGAGGUGAAACGUUUCUACACGUCUACAGCGGACCAGUCCGUCUGUUACAUUUUUCUCUUUAUUAUUAGUUUGUGGGGUUUUUUCAUUAUAUUUUAUAUCAUUUUUAUUAUUUUUAUUGUCUUUUUUGAUGUGUUUUUGUAUUUUUAAUCUAAAGUGAGCUUGUGCUCGCUGUAUAAAACUAUCAAAACAUUAUUAUUAUUAUUAUUAUUAUUAUUAUUAUUAUUAUUAUUACUGUUGUGAGCAGUAAAAACUAAAAUACAAGAACUAAAUGAAUUUUAAAAUUCAGUUAAAAAACACAAUUAAUUAAAAAGUAAGUAAAUAAAAAUAAUUCAGUUUUUUGGUUGUCAGAUGUUUUUGAUUAGAUAUUUUUGAUUAGAUGUUUUUGUUGUCAGUGUCACGUAUCGAGGUUGAGGCAGAAGCAAGUGCAGAUAAUGCGUUUAUUUAAACAAACGUGCUAUAAGACAAAGACACUAAGACAACGUGGUAUAACACUGCGGCAUGACACAAAACACCGAGACAUAAACUACAAGAGUCUAGGACAACGAAAGACACGCAAACACUGCAGACAUGGACUAUACACACACACACACACACACACACACACACACACACACACACACACACACACACACACACACACACACACACACACACACACGAGUGCUCAUUAACAAAACGUGAGUCAGGUGCAGGUGGUCAUGUGACAGCUAGUGCAGUGCAGUGGCUGAUGGGACGUGGAGUCCAGAGUUUCUUGAUACAUGACAGUCAAAUGUUUUUGGUUGUCAGAUGUUCUUGAUUAGAUAUUUUUGAUUAGAUGUUUUGGUUAUCAGAUGUUUUUGAUGAGAUGUUUUUAUUAGAUGUUUUUUAUUAGAUGUUUUUGAUGAGAUGUUUUUGAUGAGAUGUUUUUGGUUGCCAGAUGUUCCCUGGAGAACCUGCUGUUCUUCUACCUCUGCAGACAAAAUCUGCAGGCCUCCAUGAUGUGUGUAUUUUAUUUAUUCGUCUAUUUAUUUAUUUAUUAAAUCAGAAAUGUGGUAUAACAAAAUACAAAACGUUGUCUGGGACACGGUGUGUUUCAUUUGUCUGGGGGUUUUACUGCAAUUUUGGGAAAUCCUUUUUUUUCCCCCCCUGUUAAGCUCAUCUAUACGUAUUUAAAUAGGUAUACAAAUUUAUAUUUAAAAAAUGUAUUAGAAAUUUGGACUAUUACUUAACAAAAUACAAACAUUUCAAUACAGAUAUAAAAUGAUUAACCUGAAUGUUCAUUGCUGAUGUUUGUUGUUCUUCAUCGUUAUUAAAUGAAGAUCAGACGGACGCUAGAAUUAAUUUGUUGGUAUUUGUUGUAUAUUGUCUUUUUCCAGUGGUCCUGUGGCGUAGUGUUGGGGUUCUCUCUUUAUUUAUUAUUGAGAAGGGGAUUUUUCCCAUUCUUUCAUUUAGACUUGACGAAUUCCCGCCCACCCGUGACCUC